AUUGAACGCUGGCGGCAUGCCUAACACAUGCAAGUCGAACGGCAGCGCAGGCUGCGGUUGCGCGUCCGGUGGCGGAGGGGUGGACGAUGCAGGAGAACGUGGCCAGCAACUGGGUCUAGGGCGGUGACGGCGGGAAUAAUACCCUAACAGCCCAUACGACGAACGGGGGAAAGCGAGAGACCUUGGGACCUUGCGCGGGCCGAUGAGCCGAUGUCGGAUUAGUUGGUUGGCGGGGUAAAGGCGCACCAAGGCGACGCUCCGUAGCUGGUCCGAGAGGACGAUCAGCCACACUGGAACUGAGACACGGUCCAGACUCCUACGGGAGGCAGCAGUGGGGAAUUUUGGACAAUGGGGGCAAGCCUGAUCCAGCCAUGCCGCGUGCGUGAAGAAGGCCUUCGGGUUGUAAAGCGCUUUUGUUCGGAAAGAAAAGCACUGGGCUAAUACCCCGCGGGUAUGACGGUACCGGAAGAAUAAGCACCGGCUAACUUCGUG
rnacentral:rRNA from 1 species